AACGGCCAUACCAUGCUAAAUAUACCGGUUCUCGUUAGAUCACCGAAGUCAAGCAUCAUUGGGCGCGGUCAGUACUUGGGUGGGUGACCACCUGGGAACACCGCGU
rnacentral:rRNA from 1 species